CUUAGUUGAGGAGUCUUGUGUCAGAUCGGCGGGCCUGUGGGCGCUCUACCGAAGUAGGGUGCGCGCUAGUUCAAUGGCAGAGCUCUGCUUCAGAAAGUAUUGUCCGCUUCGGGGAUCGGAGAUCGUCGACCGCUCCCGGGGGUCCACUUUGUGGCGCCCCGGGUGGAACCACCCUUUCCACCCCUCACGGCUUCGUCCCGAGGUCGAGGGAGUUUGGAACUCAGCGGUCAACCCUCGGGGCAUCCCGACCUUAGUCGAGGGAUCGUUCGUCAGGUCGGUGGGUCUGGGCACGCUCUACCGACCUG
rnacentral:lncRNA from 1 species